GGCAUGGGGUUCUCCGCGAACGCCCCGUGAGGCGCCAGCCAAAGUUCGCAUGUAUCCCACUUGAGAGGACGCAUGCCAUG
rfam:Sulfitobacter sp. EhC04 A4_Contig35, whole genome shotgun sequence.